AUGAGCAAAUCCCUGGGACCCAAGCUCCAGGCGCUUUCUACAUAUGAAAAGGAGUGCCUCGCCAUACUCAUGGCCGUAGAUCGAUGGCGCCCAUACCUGCUCACUUCUUCCUUUGUGAUCCGCACGGACCACCGCAGCUUUGUGUGCCUGGACGAGCAGCGCUUGACCACCCCUUGGCAGCAAAAGGCACUGACAAAACUGUUUGGCCUAAACUACACCAUCGAGUAUAGGAAAGGCGCGACUAACCUGGCGGCCGAUGCCUUGUCCCGUCGC
rnacentral:rRNA from 1 species